rnacentral:lncRNA from 1 species
GGAAAUGUUCUCAGAACUUUUAUUUUAAAAAAUGGAUGUUUUGAACCUUUCAGAAAUAAUGUUUUCUUAACUCAAUGGGAACAUUAGCAAAAUGUUCUUGGAAUAUGUUUUUGUUAGCUUGGACAGAGGAACAUUGACGAUGAAAUGCCAGUAUGUUGAGUUUGGGAUGCUGCUGUUCUACACCUAAUUUAACCAGCAAACCUCUCUUGUUCAGGCAGCUUUGUCAACUGUAAACUGACAUUUUUAACAGUAAUAUUUAAGAAAUGGAACAUUUCACAGUCCACGCUGAUGUUUGAUUGUUUGAUUAACAUACCUUUGUGGUUAAAGAAAGGUUGUUGAAAUCCAGCAAGGGUCAAUCCAUGAAAUCUCACCAUUGUGUCCUUGAGCAAACUCUCAGGAACUAAACUUGUAAGAAGUGCACUGAAAGACGCAGUGGACAGAAGCAGCUACAAAGUGCCGAAUAUGUGUUUUAUGUAAUGUAUGGUUUUAUAGUAUAUUUUGUGACUGUUACUGACUGCUGCUCAAGCUGUGUACUGGUGUUCAGCAUCUGAAUUGUAUUUUAAUCACAGUUCACAAAUGUGUGUUCAGUGAUAAAACAAUGACAUUUGAUAUUUAUUGUAGCUUUCAGAUGUUUGCUGCUACCACUGAAUGUCUUAAUUGUUGAAAUGUGCAAAAGUGAAUGUUCUUCUUUGUAUUUUGUUGCAUCAAAAGUGUUGUAAAGUAUAACAUGCUGCCAUUUGAGAUACUGAUUAGGUUUUUUACUGCCAAGUUCUUGCAUUUCAUGUGAGGAGGGAGAUGGAGACCUGUGGGGCGUGUAAGAAUGUCAUCACUGCAUGAUAGAAAUGAUCGCCUGUAUUUGAACAGGAAAAGUUCAUCAGACCUGUUGCCCGUUCAGAGUCAUCUCAACUGCCUACUGAACACUGUCUUACAAGAACAAUAGGAUUUAUAAAUGCCAUCAUGGUGCCUAUUUUUGUAAUGGUAAUUUUAUAGGAAAAAUUGCUCUGUCAGAGCUGAAGUACCAAUAGGCCAAACUCCUCAAAAGCCUGUGACACAAGCUCUGGAAGAGCUGAUCAUUUAGUGCCUUUUUGAGCUGAAUAUCUUGACACAAUUUCUUUGCUUUCUUUAACAUUGCUUCAGCCAAGGAAAGGGUGCCUUAUACUUUGAGCCCCUGCAUUUUCUUACAGAUGGAUGGCAAUAAAAACGGAUCUGAUUAACCCAUAACUGCUGAAAUCUGUAAGUUUG